GGUGGUUAUAGCACGAGGGAUCCACCUCUUCCCAUUCCGAACAGAGAAGUUAAGCCUCGUCACGCCGAUGGUACUGCUAUAUUGUGGGAGAGUAGGUAGCCGCCG
rnacentral:rRNA from 1 species